AUUGAACGCUGGCGGCAUGCCUAACACAUGCAAGUCGAACGGGGGUAGCAAUACCCUAGUGGCGGACGGGUGAGGAAUACGUAGGAAUUUGCCCUUAAGUGGGGGAUAACCCGGGGAAACCCGGACUAAUACCGCAUGAUCUCGUGAGAGCAAAGCAGGGGACCGCAAGGCCUUGCGCUUUUGGAGAAGCCUACGUCGGAUUAGCUAGUUGGUGGGGUAAUGGCCCACCAAGGCUACGAUCCGUAACUGGUCUGAGAGGAUGAUCAGUCACACCGGAACUGAGACACGGUCCGGACUCCUACGGGAGGCAGCAGUAAGGAAUAUUGGACAAUGGACGCAAGUCUGAUCCAGCCAUGCCGCGUGAAGGAUUAAGGUCCUCUGGAUUGUAAACUUCUUUUAUAAGGGACGAAAAAAGGUCUUUCUAGAUCGUCUGACGGUACCUUAUGAAUAAGCACCGGCUAACUCCGUGCCAGCCGCCGCGGUAAAAC
rnacentral:rRNA from 1 species